AUUGAACGCUGGCGGCAUGCCUUACACAUGCAAGUCGAACGGUAGCGGGCCUUCGGGUGCCGACGAGUGGCGAACGGGUGAGUAAUGUAUCGGAACGUACCUUUCAGUGGGGGAUAACGUAGCGAAAGUUACGCUAAUACCGCAUAUUCUGUGCGCAGGAAAGCAGGGGACCUUCGGGACUUGCGCUGAUUGAGCGGCCGAUAUCAGAUUAGGUAGUGGGGGAGGUAAAGGCUCACCAAGGCAACGAUCUGUAGCGGGUCUGGGAGGAUGAUCCGCCACACUGGAACUGAGACACGGUCCAGACUCCUACGGGAGGCAGCAGUGGGGAAUUUUGGACAAUGGGGGCAACCCUGAUCCAGCCAUGCCGCGUGAGUGAAAAAGGCCUUCGGGUUGUAAAGCUCUUUCGGCCGGGAAGAAAUCGUAUCAGCUAAUACCUGGUGCGGAUGACGGUACCGGCAUAAGAAGCACCGGCUAACUACGUGCCAGCAGCCGCCGUAAUAC
rnacentral:rRNA from 1 species